rfam:Oryza rufipogon genomic scaffold, chr10
NNNNNGUAUAACGCCGUUGACUUUUUGACAAACGUUUGACCACUCGUCUUAUUCAAAAAAUUUAUGUAAUUAUAAUUUAUUUUAUUGUGACUUGAUUUAUCAUCAAAAUUUCUUUAAGCAUGACAUAAGUAUUUUUACAUUUGCACAAAAAUUUUGAAUAAGACGAGUGGUCAAACGUUAGUCAAAAAGUCAACGGCGUCAUACANN